GAUGAACGCUGGCGGCGUGCCUAAUACAUGCAAGUCGAGCGAACAGAUAAGGAGCUUGCUCCUUUGACGUUAGCGGCGGACGGGUGAGUAACACGUGGGUAACCUACCUAUAAGACUGGGAUAACUUCGGGAAACCGGAGCUAAUACCGGAUAACAUUUGGAACCGCAUGGUUCUAAAGUGAAAGAUGGUUUUGCUAUCACUUAUAGAUGGACCCGCGCCGUAUUAGCUAGUUGGUAAGGUAACGGCUUACCAAGGCAACGAUACGUAGCCGACCUGAGAGGGGGAACGGCCACAAUGGAACGGAGAAACGGUCCAAAAUCCUAGGGGAGGCAAAAGUAGGGAAUCUUCCGGAAGGGGAGAAAGCCUAAGGGAGAAACGCCGGGGGGGUGAGGAAGGGUUUGGGCUCGUAAAACUAUGUUAUUGGGGAAGAAAAAACGGGUAAGUAACGGAGCACGUCUGAAAGGUACCUAAUCAGAAAGCCAGGGCUAACUACGG
rnacentral:rRNA from 1 species